rnacentral:miRNA from 1 species
UAUGCAUAUACACGCAUGCAA